AAUUUUCCCCCAUUUCUUCCAAAUUUUUUUCCCAAUUUUCCCUGGAUUUUUUCUCAUUUUUUCUUUAUUUUUCUCCCAUUUUUCCCUGAUUUUCCCCCAAUUUUUUCCCCAAUUUUCCCCCAAUAUUUCCCGAUUUUCCCCCCAUUUUUUCCCAAUUUUUUUUGCUGACGAGCUCAUCAACGCUGCCAAGGGCUCCUCCAACUCCUACGCCAUCAAGAAGAAGGACGAGCUGGAGCGCGUGGCCAAAUCCAACCGCUGAGAAAAGCCCAAAAAUCCCCCCAAAAAUAAAAAUAUUCCUCCAAAAAAUAAAAAUAUUCUUCCAAAAAUAAAAA